rnacentral:rRNA from 1 species
UACAGAGGGUGCGAGCGUUGUUCGGAAUUAUUGGGCGUAAAGGGCGCGUAGGCGGUGCGGUAAGUCACCUGUGAAAUCUCCUGGCUCAACUGGGAGUCUGCAGGCGAAACUGCCGUGCUGGAGUAUGGGAGAGGCGCGUGGAAUUCCCGGUGUAGCGGUGAAAUGCGUAGAUAUGGGGAGGAACACCGGUGGCGAAGGCGGCCACCUGGACGGUAACUGACGCUGAGACGCGAAAGCGUGGGGAGCAAACAGG